GUAAAGAAGCUAAGUGGAAGAGUGUUUCCUCC
rnacentral:sRNA from 1 species